rnacentral:rRNA from 1 species
UACGUAGGGUGCGAGCGUUAAUCGGAAUUACUGGGCGUAAAGCGUGCGCAGGCGGUUCGUUAAGUCAGAUGUGAAAGCUCCGGGCUCAACCUGGGAACUGCAUUUGAAACUGGCGGGCUUGAGUAUGGCAGAGGGGGGUGGAAUUCCGCGUGUAGCAGUGAAAUGCGUAGAGAUGCGGAGGAACACCGAUGGCGAAGGCAGCCCCCUGGGCCAAUACUGACGCUCAGGCACGAAAGCGUGGGGAGCAAACAGG